rnacentral:rRNA from 1 species
UGGGGAAUUUUGGACAAUGGGGGCAACCCUGAUCCAGCCAUCCCGCGUGUGCGAUGAAGGCCUUCGGGUUGUAAAGCACUUUUGGCAGGGAAGAAACAGCCUGGGAUAAUACCCCGGGCGACUGACGGUACCUGCAGAAUAAGCACCGGCUAACUACGUGCCAGCAGCCGCGGUAAUACGUAGGGUGCAAGCGUUAAUCGGAAUUACUGGGCGUAAAGCGUGCGCAGGCGGUUCGGAAAGAAAGGUGUGAAAUCCAGGGCUUAACCUUGGAACUGCACUUUAACUACCGAGCUAGAGUACGUCAGAGGGGGGUAGAAUUCCACGUGUAGCAGUGAAAUGCGUAGAGAUGUGGAGGAAUACCGAUGGCGAAGGCAGCCCCUGGGAUGAUACUGACGCUCAUGCACGAAAGCGUGGGGAGCAAACAGGAUUAGAUACCCUGGUAGUCCACGCCCUAAACGAUGUCAACUAGCUGUUGGGGUUUAUUAACCUUAGUAGCGCAGCUAACGCGUGAAGUUGACCGCCUGGGGAGUACGGUCGCAAGAUUAAAAC